UACGUAGGGUGCGAGCGUUGCCCGGAUUUAUUGGGCGUAAAGGGCGCGUAGGCGGCCACGCACGUCCGUUGUGAAAUCGCCCGGCUCAACUGGGCGGGGUCGGCGGAUACGGCGUGGCUGGAGCAAGCUAGGGGGCAAUGGAAUUCCCGGUGUAGUGGUGGAAUGCGUAGAUAUCGGGAGGAACACCUGUGGCGAAGGCGGCCCCCUGGGCCGGCCCUGACACUGAGACGCGAAGGCGUGGGGAGCGAACGGG
rnacentral:rRNA from 1 species